GAUGAACGCUGGCGGCGUGUCUAAGGCAUGCAAGUCGAGCGGGGGAAGGUAGCUUGCUACCGGACCUAGCGGCGGACGGGUGAGUAAUGCUUAGGAAUCUGCCUAUUAGUGGGGGACAACAUCUCGAAAGGGAUGCUAAUACCGCAUACGUCCUACGGGAGAAAGCAGGGGAUCUUCGGACCUUGCGCUAAUAGAUGAGCCUAAGUCGGAUUAGCUAGUUGGUGGGGUAAAGGCCUACCAAGGCGACGAUCUGUAGCGGGUCUGAGAGGAUGAUCCGCCACACUGGGACUGAGACACGGCCCAGACUCCUACGGGAGGCAGCAGUGGGGAAUAUUGGACAAUGGGGGGAACCCUGAUCCAGCCAUGCCGCGUGUGUGAAGAAGGCCUUAUGGUUGUAAAGCACUUUAAGCGAGGAGGAGGCUACUCUAGUUAAUACCUAGGGAUAGUGGACGUUACUCGCAGAAUAAGCACCGGCUAACUCUGUGCCAGCCGCCGCCGUAA
rnacentral:rRNA from 1 species